AUUGAACGCUGGCGGCAGGCUUAACACAUGCAAGUCGAGCGAGCGGCGGACGGGUGAGUAAUGUCUGGGAACCUGCCUGAUGGAGGGGAAUAACUACUGGAAACGUUAGCUAAUACCGCAUACCAUCAGAUGUGCCCACAUGGGAUUAGCUAGUAGGUGUGGUAAUGGCUCACCUAGGCGACGAUCCCUAGCUGGUCUGAGAGGAAGACCAGCAACACGGGACGUCAGACACGGUCCAGACUCCUACGGGAGGCAGCAGUGGGGAAUAUUGCACAAUGGGCGCAAGUCUGAUGGAGCCAUGCAGCGUGAGUGAAGAAGGCUUGCGGGUUGUAAAGGACUUUCAGCGGGGAGGCGUUACCCGCAGAGUAAGCACCGGCUAACUACGUGCCAGCAGCCGCGGUAAUUC
rnacentral:rRNA from 1 species